rnacentral:rRNA from 1 species
CCCUUAGAUGGUCUGGGCGGCACGCGCGCUACAAUGAUGCAUUCAAAAAGCCUUCUGACCUUAGAAGGUUGGGUAUUCUCCAAAGUGCAUCGUGAUGGGAAUAGUUUAUUGCGAUUUUUAAUCUUGAACGAGGAAUUCCUAGUAAGUACAGGUCAUCAACUUGUGUUGAUUACGUCCCUGCCCUUUGUACACACCGCCCGUCGCUCCUACUGAUUGAGUGUCUCGGUGAAUUCUUUGAUCUUCUGUCGAUUCAGUUCACUGAUCCGACGGUGGAAAGUUGAAUGAACUUCGUCACUUAGAGGAAGGAGAAGUCGUAACA